AACCCUUCCAUUUUCGAGCAAAAUUCGAAAAUCAAGAUAUACAACUCGUCGCUAACCUUCGAAACCUCCAUCAACACACCAUCAAACUCUCGAUCAAGAAUCUCCAGAGAAAACAAAGCUAUAAUACUCAAGAGAAAAUAGCAGCGAGAAACCAACCUGGAAGAAAUCAAACAAAAGACCUUAAGUGUGCCACACAUCUCCUAAGUGAUAAAUUCAGAAACAUG